rnacentral:tRNA from 2 species
GCGUCCGUAGCUCAGCUGGAUAGAGUACCUGGCUACGAACCAGGAGGUCAGAGGUUCGAAUCCUCUCGGACGCGCCA